GCCCUUUUUGGAUACAUAUACCGGUAUAUCAUGUCCGAUACAAUAGGAGGAGGCCAUUUUUUAAUUUGGGUAAUACAAAUGAUUUUACCCAAACCACAUUACAUGCCCUCUUAUUGGGCCGAAUACAUAAAUCUUGCAGUUUCAAGGUUUUUGCUUACAUUUUCAUACAUAACAAUAAGCAAUUGCUAAGAAGCAAAAGCUUCUACUUUUAAACAGGUCUGGGAGAACACUCGGAACCAACUUCUCCUCCAUGCUUAGAUCAACAUGAAGCUCAUUACACUGACCUGACAGUGGCUGGUACUCUGAAGGAAUUAAUCCCUGGAUUUCUCUGGAAUGCUGAUUAUCCUUAGUUGUUGUUGUCGUGUCGCUACACUUGUCCUAUCCACUGCAUAAUGUCACAGGCUUUGGCAACACGGGUUGAAAUCCUUGAGAUCCUCUAGUUUGCAGGGCUGUGGUAGGAGGGGGCAGUUUAGGAGGUGCUUCAUAGUUGGGGUGCCUCCCCGCAGUCAUUGUUGUCCAUCGGGUACCUGUAAAACAUCCUUUCAAAAUGUAUUCUUUGCUGACUGUAUUUUCUGACAGUUACGGUCGGAAUCUUUGGGACAGUCUUUGGCGCCAGUCAGUUAGUAAUCCUAACAGUGCAUGGCGAAGGUCCUUGUUCCUCAGGUAGUAAAUAAUUACAUUCAUCCAGCCAUUGGACAACAGCAUGGCUUCUGUUAACAUUAGGGCCAAGUAGCUUUCAUAAGGCUCCCAUUGGUUUUGUGAAGCCAUUGCCAACCUUAUCAGUUUAGGAAUACAGGUGAUGAUUACAGUCCCUGUUAUGAUGAUGAUGGUGGUGGUUUAUCUGGUGUUUAUUCUCUGUGCACCUUGACCAUUGCCUGCUUGGUUUUCAGCAGCAAUGCGUCGGGCUUGAUUGCGAGCUAUCAGGGCGAUGCGUCCAUACAGGAUGAAUAUGGUCAGUAGCCCAAGCCCUGCCAAUACAAGAAUUAGAUAUACUCUCCAGUCAUAUGUCUCUGAUGCACAUGUUCUCUUGUUAUGACCAGUAACCUGUACAGUAUAGUAAGGAUUUAUCCCAUUUAGCAGAAUGGAGGAUAUGAUGAUUGUAGCCCAUGCGCUGCAUACAAUUAUCUUAGCUUUUAAAACGGUCAUUAUUGAGGGGUACCGCAGAGGAUGGGAAAUAGCAAUGUAACGAUCCACAGUGAGAAGAAGGAGCGUACUAACACUGAGCGCAGUAAAGAGGAAUAGCAUCACCUGAUUUGUUGCACAAAGAAAAUUACCCAACAACCAAGUGUCAGCAAACAAUGAUGUUAGGCUUAGGAUCGACCAAAAGCUGCUGCACAGAUCAGACAGGAUAAUCUAUAGUUCCUGUCAGAUGAUGCACAUACGCAGAGGUCCAACUCACUUUCAACAGAACGUAGCAGCUUGUCUACAUUUUUAAAGGAACUACUCAGCCUUCUGCUGGUCUUGCACAAUGUAGGACUUGGCUGAGGGGUUUGACGUCAGAACCAGUUGCAUUUCCAGGGACGAGUCUACAGUGAGACAAUUGACUGGAAUCAUGUCUGAAUUACAACAACUUGAAGGUUCUACUCAGGGUACCAGAAUCUGCAAAGGAGGAUGAAAGACAGGGACAAUGAGUACAUCAAUGAUCGCAGCACUGACAAGCCAACCACAUGAUGCCAAAGUGUUGUGAUAAUUAUUUGCAUAAUUUGGGGCUCACAUUGACGAAGCACAAAACCCAAUAAAAAUUCUGUAAUCUGCAUUGUUAGUUGCUUCAGUUUAGCUCAUCAAUAACAUGUUCAAUAUCUGCAAGGCCGUCCCCAUCUUGUUUCAGGAAAAGACCUUUAGCAUGCUGCCACCAUUUCAGUCAUAUUCCCUGUCUCCAAUAACAGUACUGUAUGAUACUGUUUCUGUGCAAGAAAGGACCAGACUAUUUUUCCUUCCAGUUUCGCUUUGGUUACGUUGAUUUGAAUUGGAAAAAUUCAAAUGGCCGCAACAUGAUAAUGGUCUACAGGACAUUGGUGCUUAUUGACUAUCAUCUUCAAAGUUUUUAUCAGCUU
rnacentral:lncRNA from 1 species